CUUGAAGUGAGGACCUCUGACGCAAGGCCCAGACCCUCACCGGUCGUUGUCCUCAUCCAGGGAGACUCUCUCAAAGUGUAGGUGCAGCCGGCGUCCCUCAGCUGCUUCGAUGACCCAACGGCAGAGCUAUUGCACCCACACCUUUGCCUGGGACCUGGCCUUGGGAUGACCUCUGCCCUACAGGCUCACCCCAGGACUUUUUUCAGGCCACUACCAGCCUAGCUGAUCAGUUGAUGCCGCCAAGAGGCAAUGUGGAACAGUGCAAAGAGCACUGGAUUUGGAGAUGGGCAGACCUAAGUUCCAGUUCUACUUUCACAACUUAUUAGCUGUAUGGCCUUGAGCAGGUGACUUCACC